GACGAACGCUGGCGGCGUGCUUAACACAUGCAAGUCGAACGGAAAGGCCCUGCUUUUGUGGGGCGCUCGAGUGGCGAACGGGUGAGUAACACGUGAGUAACCUGCCCUUGACUUUGGGAUAACUUCAGGAAACUGGGGCUAAUACCGGAUAGGAGCUCCUGCUGCAUGGUGGGGGUUGGAAAGUUUCGGCGGUUGGGGAUUGGCUCGCGGCUUAUCAGCUUGUUGGUGGGGUAGUGGCUUACCAAGGCUUUGACGGGUAGCCGGCCUGAGAGGGUGACCGGCCACAUUGGGACUGAGAUACGGCCCAGACUCCUACGGGAGGCAGCAGUCGGGAAUAUUGCGCAAUGGGCGGAAGCCUGAUGCAGCAGCGCCGCGUGCGGGAUGACGGCCUUCGGGUUAUAAACCGCUUUCGCCUGUGACGAAGCGUGAGUGACGGUACUGGGUAAAGAAGCACCGGCUAACUACGUG
rnacentral:rRNA from 1 species